GUUUUCAGUUUCUUCAAUAAAACCCUUUUUUUUGCAUGGUCAGUCAUAUUUUCAAAAUCACAAUUUUACAAGUUCUGCCAGGGUGUGCAAACUUUUGAGCACAACUGAAUGUAUGCGUUUAUGUAAAAUUUAUAUUUUUGUUUUAUUCUGAAGCUGCUGACAACGCUUCUUUCAAAUUCAAACUAAAAGUAUUUAAAUUUUGAUCAUUUAU